UGGGGCUGACUCGGGAGUUACAGCCGAGUUAAGCACGCAGAGAGGAUAAACGCUGAGGGAGGUAUCGGGGCAGCGGCGCUGUCAUGAAACAGGAGACUAAUAACGAAACGUUUGCAAUUAUUAGCCCGUAAUGUUGGCACCUGCUUGCUGCCCCCAGCUGCGCCGAGCUUGUGUUUCUUGACCUGCAGAGCGUGUUUACAAGAUGUGUCUACUCUGCCAAGCUUUUCCUGAAGGGAAAGGGGACCCGAUGGGACUUUUCUUUGAAGCUCCGAUGCAAUCGCAGCAGAGUUGUGAUUUCGCCGCAGUCUAAGUGAGGGACUCGCCUCGAGAACAAGCUACGCCAUUUCAAAUUCAGAUGGCAACAGCAUAUGAAUGGGGGACAAAAGAAAGAUGGGAGAAACGGGCGUGAAAAAUACAGGAGAGAAGGGAAGAAAUGCGAGAAACCUCAGCAGAGUGACACAAAGGAGAAUGCCGAGAAAUGCCUCGGACGCUCACGUAAGCAGUAAGAUUUCAUUUAUUUGGCACGGAGGGACAAUAGCCCUGCUAACCAGGAUAGCUAUUGUUCUUUUGUUUUUAGGAAACAAAAAGGGUAGAUGCGAAGCAUGAGCUUCCCAGGGAAAAAUCAUAAAAAUAAGUUCUCAUCCUGCUGUCUACCGAGGAACCAGCGGACCCCCGUACUUCACCUAUCGCCCUUGCGCUGUUACUCACCCCUGUGUUUGUCGGCUUAGAAAACAAAUGAAAUAUAUCGAGGCCUUGCUCUGUCUGAGGAGAGCCGAGGGUUUUUUUUAUAGCAGAAGAAGUUAAUUGGAUCGAAAAGCAUCGAGUCAAUGCACUAAGCAGAAAAAUGCUCAGCGCUGUCUGCUGUGUCGCCGAGCACACGAGUGCUCCAGCAGCUGAUGUUUCAGAAGCGAGCGUGAGAUCAGUGUAUUCCCUUUAGCUUUAUUUCAGUGCUUUUCAUAAUGAAAACAGAAAGGCAUCCAUACUUGAAAGCCUCAAAAUGCUGCAUUCCUUCGGGGUGGUGGACGGAGGAGAAAAGAGGGACUUAGAUCUAGAAAGACAGAGGUGCCCAAACACAGGGAUGACAGUCGGGGAAUAAGGACCCACUGUCUGGGGACAGGGAAUGCUUAUAGGUUUUUACAAGCUCGGGGAGGGUUUAAGUGGUACAGGAGGUGCAGGAGCUUUGGCACAAGCACAGUGGAUCCUGUCAGCAAAAAAGGACCUUCCACACGCAGGUAGCCUCGUGAACCCGCAGGAGCCAUUUGAAGCAUGGAGGCGCAGCAUUUCCCCCCUCAGCCGGCUAGCUGAAAAGCAAACAGCUGUCACCGAGGAAGGCAGGGGUGUCAGAUAUGCCUGGAGACACGCACCGGGGGAUUUCUGCCCAAUUAAAAUAUUUCUGAAUGCAAAAGGCAAGGAUUUCAAGCAAGGGGGCUAGUGGAAGGCGUUAUCUGGGAAACCCAAACAGCCCGGCUGGGCGUUUGUUGUUCGGGGAGUUACCGCUCUUCGCAACUAACUGGCUUCAUCUGGAAAAGGACAAGCUCCACAGCAUCAUAAUCCUCUGCGUCAACCACAGUACAAAUAAACAGAGUCAAGUCAAGGCUCAAUGAUUUUUUAACCUCUGCUAGUCAAAGCCGUGGUGGGUUUCACCUGCACGCUCCGCUGUGAACAUAUGGAUGCGGGAUACAAAGAACAGAGCCCCGGAGCCAAAUCCUUUACUGAUAAAUAACGCAAGUUCCCAGCUGCAUACACUACUGAGGGGCACGAUAAAUAUUCAUGCUUGUUUAUAACCUAAUGCAUGGGAACUGCCCUGUGGACUUCUUCAGUGAUUCCCGGUGCGCGGUCUGGCAUAAGGACGCUGUGCUCUUGAGUUUCUUGGGUCUCUGAAGAGCUUUUGGAGAUGCUCACAGGCAUGGCUCAUUGCUGGGUUUGGUACCUGUCAGCAAAAGGUGUUUUUAUUUCUAAGUAGACAGUUUCAGUCAGUGCCUAGUUUUGUAUGUCUAGGGCCUAAAGAGAGGAGGAACAUCAUACCAUGUAGUUCAAUAGCCUGUUUUCCUUUUCACUCUUUUUUCCCUUA